rnacentral:rRNA from 1 species
UACGUAGGGGGCGAGCGUUGUCCGGAGUUAUUGGGCGUAAAGCGCGUGCCGGCGGUCCGUAAGGUGCGGUGUGAAAGCUCCCGGCUCAACUGGGAGAGGGCGCUGCAGACCGGCGGACUUUGAGGGCUGGAGAGGGAGAUGGAAUUCCGGGUGUAGCGGUGAAAUGCGUAGAUAUCUGGAGGAACACCGGUGGCGAAGGCGGCGAUCCUGGACCGGUAUUGACGCUGAGGCGCGAAAGCGUGGGGAGCGAACAGG